rnacentral:lncRNA from 1 species
UUUGUUCUUGCUGAGGAAAUACUCAUGUUUCCUGUUUCCAUGCCCUAGGUGUCUGCAGCACAACAGCCAACACUUCUGGAGCACAUGGCCCUGCAGUGAAGGAUUCUGGAGCUCACAUUUGUCUGAAGGGGAUCCGAGGAGGUUCUGUCUUGUUGAAUGUGAUUGAGAAGCUCAGAGUAGAUGUAGACGCCGAGCUGGAGGAGGUUGUAUGGACUUUGGGUAUUCUGUCAAAUCAUACACAGGUGCUGUGAGUCCACAGGGGGGCCGACUCUCCAACCUGGGUCGGCCUUGAGGAAAAGUUCAAGCAGAGGGUCCAUGUGCCUAGCAGAGGGUCCAUGUGUUGUCUCUGAGGAUUGAGAACCUGGCCCCUGAUGACAGUGGGCAGUACAUGGCCAUGAUCCACUUAACUGGGGGACAAUUAUCUGGCCAGGUUUUCUACCUCACUGUCUAUGAGCCUGUGCCUCAUCCUGAGAUCCUGGCCAAGUCACUGUCUAUCAUACCAGGCUUGUGUAACAUCACCCUGGAGUGCAGGGCUCCAGGAGCCACAGAGGACCUGAAUGUGACUUGGGAGAGCAAGGACCUCCUCAGAGAGCUGGAGCACAGAGAAACACGAGGACCAGCCCCUAACCCCUGGAUCCUGGCUGUGAACCUGCCCCUGAGCCAGCGGAACAGCAAUCUCACCUGUGUGGUCAGCAACUAGGUAGAUCAGAAAGAUGUAACCUUACCUUGGGGAAGCCUGUGUCAAGGUUCAUGUAGACUGGACAUGGCUCUCCUUCGCGAGAUAUUCUUGGAGUCAUUGCAUUUGUGCUGUUGAUCCUGAGAGCUGGGCUAUACCUCUGGAAGAAACGUGGGAAGAAGAAGAAGAAGAAAGAUGAGGAGGAAGAAGAGGAGGAGGAGCAGAAGGAGGAGGAGGAGCGGGAGGAGGCAGGAAUAGGCAGGUUGCAUUUCUCCAUCGAGGCCCAGAUAUCUCCCCUCCCCCACUAGAAUCUGGGUUCUCUUUCUCCUGAAAGAAUGUCAUUGUUUAGCUAUAUGAAUAACCCUAGAUAUAGCAUUGAGUUAACAUGUCCAAGAUAUUUGUUACUGGGAAAAACUGAACAGCAAUGCAUGGUAUGAUUUAAUUUUUGUAAAAGUGUAUAGAUAGGUAGAUAGAAAGAUAAGCACAGAAUAAAAUCUAUGCUACAUGACAGAUUACCAACAGUGGCUCACUCAGAGGUGAGGAAUUCCUCAAGGUUUGCUUCUUUUUAGUUUAUAUAUGUAAUGUAAUAUUUUAUGUUAUUUGAAUCUUUUCAAUGCUCAGUCACUGUGAAGUCAAAGGAAACAAUUAAGACAAUUUUGUAGCUUAAUUCCAUUUAGCUAAUUAAUCCC